UCACACGAUAUCAUCAACCAACAUAAUUAGCAAUGGAAACACUACUGGCAAUGAUACUGGCAUUAGAAUCAACCAACACCACCACUACUGAUAGUGAUGAUUCCAAUGAUGGUGAUACUAAUGGAAUGUGUACUAAGAUUAAUGGAGGGAAAGUUGCAGGUGACUGUAAUAAAGGAAUAAGCAGCAGCAACCAGAUAUCAGUCUGAAUGGAGCAGAGGAGGUGGGUGGAGCUAUAUCAGAACGUAAUAUGGCGUUUUGGCCUUUUGUCACUUUAUUUAACCAUUUUUAAGGGUACCGUCAAGGAUCUCAAGUCCUUUUUUGUAGGCGGAGUUGACAAAUUGUCAUCAAAUUUACAUGAAUGAACAUUAAAGGUACCGUCAAGGAUCUCAAGUCCAUUUUAGAGGGCGGAGUUGACGCCUUGUCUUCACAUUUACAUGAAUGAACAUUAAAGGUACUGUCAAGGAUCUCAAGUCCAUUUUAGAGGGCGGAGUU
rnacentral:lncRNA from 1 species